rnacentral:rRNA from 1 species
UACGGAGGGUGCAAGCGUUAUCCGGAUUCACUGGGUUUUAAGGGUGCGUAGGUGGGAAGGUAAGUCAGUGGUGAAAUCCCCGAGCUUAACUUGGGAACUGCCAUUGAUACUAUCUUUCUUGAAUACCUUGGAGGUGAGCGGAAUAUGUCAUGUAGCGGUGAAAUGCUUAGAUAUGACAUAGAACACCAAUUGCGAAGGCAGCUCACUACACGGUCAUUGACACUGAGGCACGAAAGCGUGGGGAGCAAACGGG